rnacentral:rRNA from 1 species
AUUGAACGCUGGCGGCAGGCCUAACACAUGCAAGUCGAACGAGUGGCGGACGGGUGAGUUAUGUCUGGGAAACUGCCUGAUGGAGGGGGAUAACUACUGGAAACGGUAGCUAAUACCGCAUACCAUCGGAUGUGCCCAGAUGGGAUUAGCUAGUAGGUGGGGUAAAGGCUCCCCUCGGCGACGAGCCAUAGCUGGUCUGAGAGGAUGACCAGCCACCCUGGAACGGAGACACGGACCAAACGCCUACGGGAGGCAGCAGUGGGGAAUAUUGCACAAUGGGCGCAAGCCUGAUGCAGCCAUGCCGCGUGGAUGAAGAAGGCCUUCGGGUUGUAAAGUACUUUCAGCGGGGAGGCGUUACCCGCAGAAGAAGCACCGGCUAACUCCGUGCCAGCAGCCGCGGUAAUUC